AGGUAACUGGUUUAAUAAAAAUGUUUGAUUUCGGCUCAAACGCUCGCGGUUAAAGUCCACGGUUCCCUG
rnacentral:tRNA from 1 species